UUUGGAUUGUUUCAAUUUGGAAACUAUUACAAAUAAAACUGUUCUGAAUAUUUGUGUACAGGUCACUGCAUGAACAUCUGUACCAAUUCUCAGGUACAUUUGGAUACUAAAUCUUUCAUAAUUACUGAAGGAACAUGACUGGUCCUAAAAUGCAAGUGGGCAUAAACAGGGAACGAAAUGACAGGUGAGACUACAUUUUAAGUGAUUUAUUAUUAUUUCCCAAUUAAAAUCAAAGCAACAGGAUGGGUCAAGUAAUUCAAUAUGCACUUUAAUUAGCAAGAAAAAUAUUAAUUAAGCUUGACUAUUAAAAUGACUUUUAUGUUAUUUUAAUAAUAACUAGUAAUAACUUUGCAAGAGGCAAAU
rnacentral:lncRNA from 1 species